AUACCUUGCUGUGGACAUUUCCUUAACAUCUCUUUAUACCUCUCCCAUGUCUCAUACAAUGAUUCAAACUCAAUUGAUAAAAAAAAGAGACAUUGCUUCUGAGUUU